AACGCAUCUUGCGCUCCUUGGUAUUCCGAGGAGCAUGCCUGUUUGAGUGUCAUUUUGAACUCUCAAAGCCCCACGUUUUGACGUGGCUUUGGACUUGAGGGCUUUUUGCAGGCUUUUGAUCAGAAAGCCUGCUCCCUUGAAAAUCAUCAGUGGUAUCUGGAGCGGAAACCGCUAGGUGUUGAUAACAUUCAUCUAUGCCUUUGGGUAUGCCGCGUAAAAUGUGCUGCUUCCAACGCCCCAUGCUCUUUGACAAACUUGACCUCAAAUCAGGUAGGACUACCCGCUGAACUUAA
rnacentral:misc_RNA from 1 species